rnacentral:rRNA from 1 species
UUGCUUGUCUCCAAGAUUAAGCCAUGCAUGUCUAAGCACAUGCCUUAAUACGGUGAAGCCGCGAAUAGCUCAUUACAACAGCCAUCGUUUAUUAGAAUAUCGUUAUCCUACUUGGAUAACUGUGGCAAUUCUAGAGCUAAUACAUGCAAUAAAGCUCCGCCCGCAAGGAACGAGCGCAUUUAUUAGAAUAAAAACCAAUCGAGCUUCGGCUCGUAAUUUGGUGAAUCCGAAUAACUUUGCCAAUCGCACAGUCCUAGUACUGGCGAUGUAUCUUUCAAGUGUCUGCCUUAUCAACUUUCGAUGGUACGCUAUACGCCUACCAUGGUAGUAACGGGUAACGGAGAAUAAGGGUUCGACUCCGGAGAGGGAGCCUGAGAAACGGCUACCACAUCCAAGGAAGGCAGCAGGCGCGCAAAUUACCCACUUCCAGAACGGAGAGGUAGUGACGAAAAAUAACGAGACAGUCCUCUUCGAGGUCUGUCAUCGGAAUGGGUACAAUUUAAAUCCUUUAACGAGGAUCUAUUGGAGGGCAAGUCUGGUGCCAGCAGCCGCGGUAAUUCCAGCUCCAAUAGCGUAUAUUAAAGUUGUUGCGGUUAAAACGCUCGUAGUUGGAUCUGCGGCCUCGAAGAACGGUCCCCCGAAAGGGCGGUAACUGUCUCUUCUAGCCUAAAGUCGAGUUGUCUCUAAGUGCCCUUUAUUGAGUGCUUAGAGCGACUAGAACGUUUACUUUGAAAAAAUUAGAGUGCUUAAAGCAGGCGAAAUAGUCUGGAUAAGGUGCAUGGAAUAAUGGAAUAGGAUCUCGGUUCUAUUUUGUUGGUUUUCGGAGCCCGAGAUAAUGAUUAAGAGGAACAGACGGGGGCAUUCGUAUUUCGGCGCUAGAGGUGAAAUUCUUGGACCGCCGAAAGACGAACGACUGCGAAAGCAUUUGCCAAGAAUGUUUUCAUUAAUCAAGAACGAAAGUUAGAGGUUCGAAGGCGAUCAGAUACCGCCCUAGUUCUAACCGUAAACGAUGACAACCAGCGAUUAAUCGGCGUUAAUAUACGACCCGAUUAGCAGCUUCCGGGAAACCAAAGUUUUUCGUUUCCGGGGGAAGUAUGGUUGCAAAGCUGAAACUUAAAGGAAUUGACGGAAGGGCACCACCAGGAGUGGAGCCUGCGGCUUAAUUUGACUCAACACGGGAAAACUCACCCGGCCCGGACACUGUAAGGAUUGACAGACUGAGAGCUCUUUCUUAAUUCAGUGGGUGGUGGUGCAUGGCCGUUCUUAGUUGGUGGAGCGAUUUGUCUGGUUAAUUCCGAUAACGAACGAGACUCUGGCCUAUUAAAUAGACGAGAUAUCUUUAAGUAUCUCGCGCUUCUUAGAGGGACAAGCGGCGUCUAGUCGCAUGAAAAAGAGCAAUAACAGGUCUGUGAUGCCCUUAGAUGUCCGGGGCUGCACGCGCGCUACACUGAAAGAAUCAGUGGGCGUUUUACCUGGUUCGGAAGAACCGGGUAACCCAAGUAAUUUCUUUCGUGCUUGGGAUAGGGAAUUGCAAUUAUUUCCCUUAAACGAGGAAUUCCCAGUAAACGCGGGUCAUAAGCUCGUGUUGAUUACGUCCCUGCCCUUUGUACACACCGCCCGUCGCUACUACCGAUUGGAUGACUUAGUGAGGUCUUAGGACCGAGGUAGGGGCGCUUUAACGAGCGCCUUUGCUUUGGAAAUUUGAUCGAACUACGUUAUCUAGAGGAAGUAAAAGUCGUAACAAGGUUUCCGUAGGUGAACCUGCGGAAGGAUCAUUAAAGAGUUACGCUUAUAAAGAGAGAUUUAAGCGAUCUAGUCGUAUCGAGCGACCAUUUACGGUAGGCGCCGAAGCGCGAGUCCGCGCUCGAUACUAAAAGAAAAGACUAGAGUAAGGUCUAAGCGGCUAUAUAUAAGAGAGAGAUAUAAAGUCGACUUGAACCUUAUAAAAAAAUGGACAGACGAUCGAGGCCUAAGACCGACGAAAGCGGAUAGAGAUCGAAGCUUUCUUAGUACUCUUAGGUCCUCCUUCGGGUACCUAUCGACUACUAGCGCUAGAGUUGACGUCUGACUCUUAACGAAAAGACGCGUUAGUAGUUGUAGAUCGAGAUUCUUUUAUCGAAAGUAUUUUCGACUUAUAGAGAGAUCCUACGUCAAAAAGAAAUAGAUUUAAGAAUCGAGACAGGUCUAACGAGUCGUUGGCGAAGUGCGUUUUCGCGCCUAGCGACCGAUCUCUAUUAAAGGGUCUCUAUUAAACGACGAGAUACCUAGAUCGGUUCGGGGUAGUAAGAGAAGAUAGAGAUUCUUACUAUUCGGACGACCGCCCGAAAACCUUUAAAUAAAGUCUAAUUAAAUAUACUUUAAAGCUAAACGAGCCUUAAGAAAGCUCUAUUAGCGAUAAUAAUAAUCGAGAAUCUAGUAACGAUUCCAUUCUAAGCGGUGGAUCACUAGGCUCGUGGGUCGAUGAAGAACGGGGCCAGCCCCGAGAAUAAGUGCGAAUUGCAGACACAAAGAACAUUGACGUUUCGAACGCAUAUUGCGGUAUCGAGCCAGCUCGAUACCGCG